CCUACGGGAUGCAGCAGUGAGGGAUAUUGGUCAAUGGGGGAAACCCUGAACCAGCAACGCCGCGUGAGGGAAGACGGUUUUCGGAUUGUAAAACUCUGUCCUCUGUGGAGAUAAUGACGGUAGCAGAGGAGGAAGCUCCGGCUAACUACGUGCCAGCAGACGCGGUAAUACGUAGGGAGCAAGCGUUGUCCGGAUUUACUGGGUGGAAAGGGUGCGCAGGCGGCCUGUUAGGUCAGCGGUAAAAGCCCGGGGCUCAACCCCGGCGAGCCGUUGAAACUGGCGGGCUGGAGUUGGAGAGAAGUACGCGGAAUGCGCGGUGUAGCGGUGAAAUGCUUAGAUAUCGCGCAGAACCCCGAUUGCGAAGGCAGCGUACCGGCUCCACACUGACGCUGAGGCACGAAAGCGUGGGUAUCGAACAGGAUUAGAUACCCGGGUAGUC
rnacentral:rRNA from 1 species